GCAUAUCAAUAAGCGGAGGAAAAGAAACCAACAGGGAUUGCCCUAGUAACGGCGAGUGAAGCGGCAACAGCUCAAAUUUGAAAUCUGGCCUCGGCCCGAGUUGUAAUUUGCAGAGGAAGCUUUGGGCGCGGCACCGACCGAGUCCCCUGGAACGGGGCGCCAUAGAGGGUGAGAGCCCCGUAUGGUCGGACGCCUAGCCUGUGUAAAGCUCCUUCGACGAGUCGAGUAGUUUGGGAAUGCUGCUCAAAAUGGGAGGUAAAUUUCUUCUAAAGCUAAAUACCGGCCAGAGACCGAUAGCGCACAAGUAGAGUGAUCGAAAGAUGAAAAGCACUUUGAAAAGAGGGUUAAAUAGCACGUGAAAUUGUUGAAAGGGAAGCGCUUGUGACCAGACUUGCGCCCGGCUGAUCAUCUGGUGUUCUCACCAGUGCACUCUGCCGGGCUCAGGCCAGCAUCGGUUCUCGCGGGGGGACAAAGGCCCUGGGAACGUAGCUCCUCCGGGAGUGUUAUAGCCCAGGGCGUAAUGCCCUCGCGGGGACCGAGGUUCGCGCAUCUGCAAGGAUGCUGGUGUAAUGGUCAUCAGCGACCCGUCUUGAAACACGGACCAAGGAGUCAAGGUUUUGCGCGAGUGUUUGGGUGUAAAACCCGCACGCGUAAUGAAAGUGAACGUAGGUGAGAGCUUCGGCGCAUCAUCGACCGAUCCUGAUGUUUUCGGAUGGAUUUGAGUAGGAGCGUUAAGCCUUGGACCCGAAAGAUGGUGAACUAUGCUUGGAUAGGGUGAAGCCAGAGGAAACUCUGGUGGAGGCUCGCAGCGGUUCUGACGUGCAAAUCGAUCGUCAAAUCUGAGCAUGGGGGCGAAAGACUAAUCGAACCAUCUAGUAGCUGGUUACCGCCGAA
rnacentral:rRNA from 1 species